rnacentral:rRNA from 1 species
GGGCCCGCACAAGCGGUGGAGUAUGUGGUUUAAUUCGAUGCAACGCGAAGAACCUUACCAGGGUUUGACAUCCUGCGAAUCUCUUGGAAACAGGAGAGUGCCUUCGGGAACGCAGUGACAGGUGGUGCAUGGCUGUCGUCAGCUCGUGUCGUGAGAUGUUGGGUUAAGUCCCGCAACGAGCGCAACCCUUAUCCUAUGUUGCCAGCACGUUAUGGUGGGGACUCGUGGGAGACUGCCGGUGUUAAACCGGAGGAAGGUGUGGAUGACGUCAAGUCAUCAUGCCCCUUACGUCCUGGGCUACACACGUACUACAAUGCUACGGACAAAGAGCAGCUAACUCGCGAGAGUACGCAAAUCUCAUAAACCGUGGCUCAGUUCAGAUCGUAGGCUGCAACUCGCCUACGUGAAGGAGGAAUCGCUAGUAAUCGCAGGU